rnacentral:rRNA from 1 species
GACGUAGGGCGCGAGCGUUGUCCGGAUUUAUUGGGCGUAAAGAGCUCGUAGGCGGCUUGUCGCGUCGACUGUGAAAACUCGGGGCUCAACUCCGAGCUUGCAGUCGAUACGGGCAGGCUAGAGUUCGGUAGGGGAGACUGGAAUUCCUGGUGUAGCGGUGAAAUGCGCAGAUAUCAGGAGGAACACCGAUGGCGAAGGCAGGUCUCUGGGCCGAUACUGACGCUGAGGAGCGAAAGCUAGGGGAGCAAACGGG